rnacentral:rRNA from 1 species
GAGGCGAACCGGGGGAACUGAAACAUCUAAGUACCCCGAGGAAAAGAAAUCAACCGAGAUUCCGAAAGUAGCGGCGAGCGAAAUUGGACUAGCCCUUAAGCUUUACACGCGUUAGACGAACGGUCUGGAAAGUCCGACGAUACAGGGUGAUAGUCCCGUAGUUGACGACGUGUGUUCAGUGAAAUCGAGUAGGGCGGGACACGUGAUAUCCUGUCUGAAUAUGGGGGGACCAUCCUCCAAGGCUAAAUACUACUGACUGACCGAUAGUGAACCAGUACCGUGAGGGAAAGGCGAAAAGAACCCCUGUGAGGGGAGUGAAAUAGAACCUGAAACCGUGUACGUACAAGCAGUAGGAGCAGGCUUUGUCCUGUGACUGCGUACCUUUUGUAUAAUGGGUCAGCGACUUAUAUUCAGUGGCAAGGUUAACCAUCUAGGGGAGCCGUAGGGAAACCGAGUCUUAACUGGGCGUUCAGUCUCUGGAUAUAGACCCGAAACCAGGUGAUCUAGCCAUGGGCAGGUUGAAGGUUGAGUAACAUCAACUGGAGGACCGAACCGACUAAUGUUGAAAAAUUAGCGGAUGACUUGUGGCUAGGGGUGAAAGGCCAAUCAAACCUGGAGAUAGCUGGU